rnacentral:rRNA from 1 species
UACAGAGGGUGCGAGCGUUAAUCGGAAUUACUGGGCGUAAAGCGCACGUAGUCGGCUUGUCAAGUCGGGUGUGAAAUCCCCGGGCUCAACCUGGGAACUGCAUCCGAAACUGACUUGCUAGAGUAUGGGAGAGGGAGGCGGAAUUUCUGGUGUAGCAGUGAAAUGCGUAGAUAUCAGAAGGAACAUCAGUGGCGAAGGCGGCCUCCUGGACCAACACUGACGAUCAGGUGCGAAAGCGUGGGGAGCAAACAGG